CACGCCGUAAACUAAUGCGCGUUAGGUGUACUGGUGACCACGAGUCACCGGGGUGGCCGAAGGGAAACCGGUAGAAACGUGCCGCCUGGGAAGUACGGUCGCAAGGCUGAAACUUAAAGGAAUUGGCGGGGGGAGGCACCACAACGGGUGGAGCCUGCGGUUUAAUUGGACUCAACGCCGGAAAUCUCACCGGAUAGGACAGACAUAUGAUAGUCGGGCUGAAGACUCUACUUGAUGAUCUGAGAGGUGGUGCAUGGCGUCAGUGACU
rnacentral:rRNA from 1 species